GGAGAGGUACCCAAGCGGCCAAAGGGGGCAGACUGUAAAUCUGUUGGCAGACGCCUUCGCUGGUUCGAAUCCAGCCCUCUCCACCA
rnacentral:tRNA from 1 species